GAUGAACGCUGGCGGCGUGCCUAAUACAUGCAAGUCGAGCGAACAGAUAAGGAGCUUGCUCCUUUGACGUUAGCGGCGGACGGGUGAGUAACACGUGGGUAACCUACCUAUAAGACUGGGAUAACUUCGGGAAACCGGAGCUAAUACCGGAUAACAUUUGGAACCGCAUGGUUCUAAAGUGAAAGAUGGUUUUGCUAUCACUUAUAGAUGGACCCGCGCCGUAUUAGCUAGUUGGUAAGGUAACGGCUUACCAAGGCGACGAUACGUAGCCGACCGGAGAGGGGGAACGGCACACCAGGAAAGGAGCAACGGUCCAGCACCCUAGGGGAGGCAGCAGGAGGGAAUCUUCCGAAAGGGGCGAAAGCCUGAGGGAGCAACGCCGGGUGGGUGAUGAAGGGUUUCGGCUCGAAAAACUCUGUUAUUGGGAAAAAACAAAUGGGUAAGUAACGGGGCACGUCUUGACGGUACCUAAUAAAAAAGCCACGGCUAACUACGU
rnacentral:rRNA from 1 species